rnacentral:rRNA from 1 species
UACGUAGGUGGCAAGCGUUGUCCGGAAUUAUUGGGCGUAAAGAGUACGUAGGCGGUUUCGUAAGCGCAAGGUGAAAGGCAGUGGCUCAACCAUUGUAAGCCUUGCGAACUGUGAGACUUGAGUUCAGGAGAGGAAAGCGGAAUUCCUAGUGUAGCGGUGAAAUGCGUAGAUAUUAGGAGGAACACCAGUGGCGAAGGCGGCUUUCUGGACUGAAACUGACGCUGAGGUACGAAAGCGUGGGGAGCAAACAGG